GGGUGCGAUCAUACCAGCACCAAAUGCCCCGGAUCCCCUCAGAACUCCGAAGUUAAGCGUGCUUGGGCGAGAGUAGUACUAGGAUGGGUGACCUCCUGGGAAGUCCUCGUGUUGCACCCC
rnacentral:rRNA from 1 species